AUCGCACGUCUUCAAAUU
rnacentral:snRNA from 1 species